UUUGACCUCAAAUCAGGUAGGACUACCCGCUGAACUUAAGCAUAUCAAUAAGCGGAGGAAAAGAAACCAACAGGGAUUGCCUCAGUAGCGGCGAGUGAAGCGGCAAAAGCUCAAAUUUGAAAUCUGGCGUCUUUGGCGUCCGAGUUGUAAUUUGAAGAAGGUAUCUUUGGGCCCGGCUCUUGUCUAUGUUCCUUGGAACAGGACGUCACAGAGGGUGAGAAUCCCGUGCGAUGAGAUGACCCGGGUCUGUGUAAAGUUCCUUCGACGAGUCGAGUUGUUUGGGAAUGC
rnacentral:rRNA from 2 species